rnacentral:rRNA from 1 species
UACGUAGGGUGCGAGCGUUAAUCGGAAUUACUGGGCGUAAAGCGUGCGCAGGCGGUUUUGUAAGCCAGAUGUGAAAUCCCCGGGCUCAACCUGGGAAUGGCAUUUGGGACUGCAAGGCUCGAGUGCGGCAGAGGAGACUGGAAUUCCUGGUGUAGCAGUGAAAUGCGUAGAUAUCAGGAGGAAUACCGAUGGCGAAGGCAGGUCUCUGGGCUGACACUGACGCUCAUGCACG